rnacentral:ribozyme from 1 species
AAUGGAAUAAAAUGUUGGAAAAUGGAAUGUUUGUUGGAAUUCAAUCCCUCUUUCUUUUUCUUCUCCCCACCCACUCAUCCAUCCACCUCUCUCUCUCUCUGUUUUCCUUUCGUGGAUUAUUUGUACUCUGAUGCAAUGGAUGUCCAUCCGAUGUUGUAUAUUGUGAUAAGUGUUAAAUCCUGAAUGAAUUAUGAUAGAUGGAUGCCAUUUGAAUA